UCCUGAGAGCUUUGCCAUCUUGGAGCUUUGGUUCCAAAUAAUUUCCAUACGAUACCUAAGAGAGAAUUUAAGUCCAUUGCCUCUCUUUCUUUCUCAGAGUAUAAAAAAAUCAGUCUCCUAGUUUACAUCUGGAAUGGGACAGCUCAUAGAAGACAUGUGCCUUUAGGACACUCUGAACACUUUCUCAACAGAGGAGCCAACAAGAACAGCUGUUCUCCACAGGGUUUUGACACUUCUGGUCUAAGCAACUAUGUAAAAGCUGAACAGAAAAAGAAAAGCAGAGAAGCAAGGAGAAACAGUCAAAAUGUAAAGUUUUUUAGGUAUACUUUAAAUGCUUUUGAACUGUGGUGUUGGAGAAGACUCUUCAGAGUUCUUUGGACUGCAAAGAGAUCCAACCAGUCCAUUCUGAAGGACAUCAGCCCUGGGAUUUCUUUGGAAGGAAUGAUGCUAAAGCUAAAACUCCAGUACUUUGGCCACCUCACGCGAAGAGUUGACUCAUUGGAAAAGACUCUGAUGCUGGGAGGGAUUGGGGGCAAGAGGAAAAGGGGACGACCGAGGAUGAGAUGGCUGGAUGGCAUCACUGACCCGAUGGACGUGAGUCUGAGUGAACUCCGGGAGUUGGUGAUGGACAGGGAGGCCUGGGGUGCUGCGAUUCAUGAAGUCCCAAAGAGUCGGACACGACUGAGUGACUGAACUGAGCUGAAUUCAGAUUUAUAUGCACACACACACACACACAUGUAUUCUUUUUCAGAUUUUUUUUCCAUUAUAGGUUAUUGCAAGAUGCUGUACAGUGGAUCCUUGUUUUUUUAAGUCUAUUUUAUAUGCAGUAGUGUAUGUCUGUUAAUCCCAAAUUCUUAAUAUAUUCCCC
ensembl:lincRNA